UACGAAGGGUGCAAGCGUUGUUCGGAAUCACUGGGCAUAAAGGGCGUGUAGGUUGUUAUUCAAGUCUAUGAAGAAAGAUCUGAGCUCAACUCAGAGAACUUCUUAGAUACUGAAUAGCUAGAGAUACUCAGAGGAUGAUGGAAUUAUGCAAGUAGAGGUGGAAUUCACAGAUAUGCAUAAGAACACCAGUGGCGAAGGCGAUCAUCUGGGAGUAUUCUGACGCUGAGACGCGAAGGUGUGGGGAGCAAAC
rnacentral:rRNA from 1 species